GCUGUGCAAAGGAUACAUCAUAUUGUUAAGUUGCUUUCCCAAGGGAGAUUUGGGUAAGAGGACUGAGAGAACAGUGACUGGUCACCCUUCUGCAAUGUCACAAUCCCUUCUGGACCUUUUGAGUGACUAAGCUGGAAACAUCCUAAGGGGAUUUUUCUGCUUCUUCUUUUUCCCAUCCUUUCACUACAUCAGGCUUGUCUCCCUGCUGUCUUAAGGAGACCACCUACAAUUUAAGGAAAUAAAGACCUCUGUGAAAAAACACAGGCAAACCUGAUAUUUAAUGGCACUAACUGUGGGAAGCCAAGGUACCUCAGCGUUCUCCUCCCAGCACUGCAAAUAAAUCCUAGAACUGCCCCCUAAUGCAGAGGAUACAAGAUGGGAGCAUCAUUUUAUCAUAACAAGGAUGUGUCCUUUGCAACUGUGACUCUCCUUGGCUGCCAUGUGGGAUGCUGUGACCAGCCUGCUGUGUUUUCUGUCUUUCUCUGGGACAGCUGAAUGGAUACAGAGACACGAGCUUUCAAUACCUGCAAGUUUCCAUCUGCUCUGUUGGCAGCGCUCUGCGUGAAAGGGACGAUGAGAAGUUGGAGAUGCU